rfam:Halodesulfurarchaeum formicicum strain HSR6 chromosome, complete genome.
AGGUGGACUAGGCCGGGCGGUUUGGCCCCGCCCUUCGCCCGCACCAUGGUCAUUAGCGGGGGCCGAACGCCGAGGGCGUCCGGACAGACCGGUCCGGACCCCGGAAGCCGACAGCGAAGCCUCGUCCUUCGGGGACACCGGUUCGCGGGUCACCCCUGCAGGGGGGUCGAUACCGCGAUUUGUCGGUGGCAACCCGUCAGGCACGGAAGUGAGCAGCGGACCACCGAACGGGCGUCGCUCGAAGGGUCACGGGGUGGAGGAGGCGACCGGGACUAUCCGGGUCGGAACGCCGGGCCACCUCGGCCCGUCCACCU